rnacentral:rRNA from 1 species
GAAUGCUGACAUAAGUAACGAUAAAGCGGGUGAAAAGCCCGCUCGCCGGAAGACCAAGGGUUCCUGUCCAACGUUAAUCGGGGCAGGGUGAGUCGACCCCUAAGGCGAGGCCGAAAGGCGUAGUCGAUGGGAAACGGGUUAAUAUUCCCGUACUUGGUGUUACUGCGAAGGGGGGACGGAGAAGGCUAUGUUGGCCGGGCGACGGUUGUCCCGGUUUAAGCGUGUAGGUGUGUGUUCCAGGUAAAUCCGGUUCACUUUAACACUGAGGCGUGACGACGAGGCACUACGGUGCUGAAGCAACAAAUGCCCUGCUUCCAGGAAAAGCCUCUAAGCAUCAGGUAACACGAAAUCGUACCCCAAACCGACACAGGUGGUCAGGUAGAGAAUACCAAGGCGCUUGAGAGAACUCGGGUGAAGGAACUAGGCAAAAUGGUGCCGUAACUUCGGGAGAAGGCACGCUGACACGUAGGUGAAGUGAUUUACUCAUGGAGCUGAAGUCAGUCGAAGAUACCAGCUGGCUGCAACUGUUUAUUAAAAACACAGCACUGUGCAAACACGAAAGUGGACGUAUACGGUGUGACGCCUGCCCGGUGCCGGAAGGUUAAUUGAUGGGGUCAGCGCAAGCGAAGCUCCUGAUCGAAGCCCCGGUAAACGGCGGCCGUAACUAUAACGGUCCUAAGGUAGCGAAAUUCCUUGUCGGGUAAGUUCCGACCUGCACGAAUGGCGUAAUGAUGGCCAGGCUGUCUCCACCCGAGACUCAGUGAAAUUGAACUCGCUGUGAAGAUGCAGUGUACCCGCGGCAAGACGGAAAGACCCCGUGAACCUUUACUAUAGCUUGACACUGAACAUUGAGCCUUGAUGUGUAGGAUAGGUGGGAGGCUUUGAAGUGUGGACGCCAGUCUGCAUGGAGCCGACCUUGAAAUACCACCCUUUAAUGUUUGAUGUUCUAACGUGGACCCGUAAUCCGGGUUGCGGACAGUGUCUGGUGGGUAGUUUGACUGGGGCGGUCUCCUCCUAAAGAGUAACGGAGGAGCACGAAGGUUGGCUAAUCCUGGUCGGACAUCAGGAGGUUAGUGCAAUGGCAUAAGCCAGCUUGACUGCGAGCGUGACGGCGCGAGCAGGUGCGAAAGCAGGUCAUAGUGAUCCGGUGGUUCUGAAUGGAAGGGCCAUCGCUCAACGGAUAAAAGGUACUCCGGGGAUAACAGGCUGAUACCGCCCAAGAGUUCAUAUCGACGGCGGUGUUUGGCACCUCGAUGUCGGCUCAUCACAUCCUGGGGCUGAAGUAGGUCCCAAGGGUAUGGCUGUUCGCCAUUUAAAGUGGUACGCGAGCUGGGUUUAGAACGUCGUGAGACAGUUCGGUCCCUAUCUGCCGUGGGCGCUGGAGAACUGAGGGGGGCUGCUCCUAGUACGAGAGGACCGGAGUGGACGCAUCACUGGUGUUCGGGUUGUCAUGCCAAUGGCACUGCCCGGUAGCUAAAUACGGAAGAGA